AACGAACGCUGGCGGCAGGCUUAACACAUGCAAGUCGAGCGCCCCGCAAGGGGAGCGGCAGACGGGUGAGUAACGCGUGGGAAUCUACCGGGCCCUAAGGAAUAGCUCCGGGAAACUGGAAUUAAUACCUUAUACGCCCUUUGGGGGAAAGAUUUAUAGGGGUUGGAUGAGCCCGCGUUGGAUUAGCUAGUUGGUGGGGUAAAGGCCUACCAAGGCGACGAUCCAUAGCUGGUCUGAGAGGAUGAUCAGCCACAUUGGGACUGAGACACGGUCCAGACUCCUACGGGAGGCAGCAGUGAGGAAUAUUGGACAAUGGGCGCAAGCCUGAUCCAGCCAUGCCGCGUGAGUGAUGAAGGCCCUAGGGUUGUAAAACUCUUUUAGCGGGGAAAAUAAUGAUGGUACCCACAGAAAAAGCUCCGGCUAACUUCGUGCCAGCCGCCGCAGUAA
rnacentral:rRNA from 1 species